UGGGAGAAAGAACAAUGGUCACGCAGCCUC
rnacentral:piRNA from 1 species